AUUGAACGCUGGCGGCAUGCCUUACACAUGCAAGUCGAACGGCAGCACGGGUGCUUGCACCUGGUGGCGAGUGGCGAACGGGUGAGUAAUACAUCGGAACGUACCUUAUCGUGGGGGAUAACGCAGCGAAAGCUGUGCUAAUACCGCAUAAGCCCUGAGGGGGAAAGCGGGGGAUCGAAAGACCUCGCGCGAUUAGAGCGGCCGAUGCCUGAUUAGCUUGUUGGUGGGGUAAAAGCCCACCAAGGCGACGAUCAGUAGCUGGUCUGAGAGGACGAUCAGCCACACUGGGACUGAGACACGGCCCAGACUCCUACGGGGGGCAGCAGUGGAGAAUUUUGGACAAUGGGGGCAACCCUGAUCCAGCAAUGCCGCGUGAGUGAAGAAGGCCUUCGGGUUGUAAAGCUCUUUUGUCAGGGAAGAAACACCGGCUCUAACACAGUCCGGGAAUGACGGUACCUGAAGAAUAAGCACCGGCUAACUACGUGCCAGCCGCCGCCGUAA
rnacentral:rRNA from 1 species